GCCGGCAGCGUGGGCUGCGGUGCCUGAGACCCGGGGAUGGCGGCGGUGGCUUCCCGCACGGCCGGGCUUCUGCGGCUCCGAGCUGCGGGAGCGGAGCGGCGGUGGUGCGGACCGCGCUGCGCUGGGCUGGUGCAAGGCUUCCUGCCACCCGGAGGCGAGGGCGCGGCCCAGAAGCGGCGGGUGGCCCACUUCACUUUCCAGCCGGACCCGGAGUCCCUGCAGUAUGGGCAAACUCAGAAAAUGAACCUCUUUCAGUCAAUAACAAGUGCCUUGGAUAACUCAUUGGCCAAAGACCCUACUGCAGUAAUAUUUGGUGAAGAUGUUGCCUUUGGUGGAGUCUUCCGAUGCACUGUUGGUUUACGAGACAAAUAUGGAAAAGAUAGAGUGUUCAACACCCCAUUGUGUGAACAAGGAAUUGUUGGAUUUGGGAUUGGAAUCGCAGUCACUGGUGCCACGGCCAUUGCGGAAAUUCAGUUUGCCGACUAUAUCUUCCCUGCCUUUGAUCAGAUUGUCAACGAAGCUGCCAAGUACCGCUAUCGCUCUGGCGACCUUUUCAAUUGUGGGAGCCUCACCAUCCGGGCCCCAUGGGGCUGUGUAGGUCAUGGGGCCCUCUACCAUUCUCAGAGUCCUGAAGCCUUUUUUGCCCACUGCCCAGGAAUCAAGGUGGUUAUACCCAGAAGCCCUUUCCAGGCCAAGGGACUUCUACUGUCAUGCAUAGAAGAUAAAAAUCCAUGUAUAUUUUUUGAACCUAAAAUACUUUACAGGGCAGCAGUGGAACAGGUCCCAGUAGAACCCUACAAGAUCCCCCUGUCUCAGGCUGAAGUCAUCCAGGAGGGCAGUGAUGUGACUCUGGUUGCCUGGGGCACUCAGGUUCAUGUCAUCCGGGAGGUGGCUUCCAUGGCACGAGAAAAGCUUGGGGUGUCUUGUGAAAUCAUUGAUCUGCGGACGAUUGUGCCUUGGGAUGUGGAUACAGUUUGCAAGUCCGUGGUCAAAACCGGGCGACUGCUGAUCAGCCACGAGGCUCCCUUGACUGGCGGCUUUGCCUCCGAGAUCAGUUCCACAGUCCAGGAAGAAUGUUUCUUGAACUUAGAGGCUCCAAUAUCUAGAGUAUGUGGAUAUGACACCCCGUUUCCUCACAUUUUUGAGCCGUUUUAUAUCCCAGACAAAUGGAAGUGCUAUGAUGCCCUACGGAAGAUGAUCAACUAUUGACUACAGAGAUAGGAGAAGAAUAUUAGAAAGCAGCGAUGGCUUCAGUCAAGUGGAGCCUUUCCUGGGGUUACUGGAAGGGCUUCUUUUUGCCUUCUCUUCCCCUCAUCAUAGUUCUGGAAGAUCUGAAAACAUCCUUAGGAAUUUCCCACAGAGCCAUCGCCCAGGUCUACUCUUGACUCAAGAGUAGGCCUCAUCUACUAGCCUGGUCCAGCGGAACAAGAUAUGUGCCCCAGUCAGCCUCAUGUUGCCCAAGGACAUCCUAUGAGAACAUGAUGUCUCUAGUUGAACUUGUCUCUUCAGUUGAUGUUACUUAGGAUUAUGUGAACCUCUUUUAUUAGUCACUUUGCUACUGUGUCUAUUAAUACUAAUUUUUCUACUCAUUGGUAUCUUGAUAAUUUUCCCUUAGCUACUUAAGACUUAAUUUCUUUAACUUUAUUUUACAAAUGGAAAGUACAGGGCGAGUCUGGGGACAAUUUGUGCAUUAAGUAUGACAUCUGAGAACACCAUCUCUGCUCUAAGUGGCCCUGCAGGCCCUAGCAGUAAAUAACCCCUUCCUAAGACAGUUUAUAGAUAUGCUCAAAAUAAACACAUCUAUGUAACUGUAAAUUCUUUUUUCAUAAAACAAAUGCUGUAUGUUGUACAAAUAUGGAAAAUAGUGUCAAGUGGCACAUGGGGUGUUAGAUAAAUGCCAGUCUAAUCUCCCACUGCUGUAGACUGAUCUUCAGCAUAAAUGAGCUCCCUGUGACAGCAUGGAUAUAUAUGCUAUUAACUCCCCAUUGUUCCAAUUGUUCUAGUCUCUUUAAAAUAUAAUAUCUUAUUGCUGAAGACACCAUGUAUUUCAGACAGUGGACCCAGAGGCCUCUCAGCUAGAACCGACAUGAAAGCCUCUUUCUUGAGGACUAGUUUGUAUGAAACUAGAAGGUACCAUGUAAGCUUCCAAAGAAGAAAAGCAACCAACAGUCUUAUUCUUUGAUCCACAACUACCAUCAUGGAACAAUAAUCCCAAGGGUGUAGUGGUGACACACAUGCCUUGACAGUAACCAAUAGUUCUCCAAUUGGACUUAAGACCUGCCCAAUAAGAGGGAAAUCAUGCUAGGUACUAGAAACCUACCCAGCUCCCCAGGGCUACUGAAGUCAUGAUCUUGGAGAACCUACAGCUGCCACUUUGUUCAAUUACCCAGAGAUAAGUAUAGUCAUUACCCCUCAUCAAAGAAACUUCUCUUUGUAAAUAGAUGAAGAUUAGUAUAAGGUAACACUACAUGUAAUAAAAUGUAGAGUUGUGGAUAUGGAGCCCAGUCCCAACUUACACACACACACACACAGACACACAGACACACAGACACACACACACACACACACACACACACACACACACACACACGCAAUAACAGUUAAGGAAAAGAGAGGUCAUGAAUUUGAAAGAGAGUAAGGAGGGGUAUAUGAAAGAGUUUAGAAGGAGGAAACGGAAGGGAGAAAUGAUGUAAUUAUAAUCUCAAAAAUUAGAACUUAUAAGUGCUUUACAAAACUGAUAGAUAACCUAUGUGAACAGACCUGUGUACAUUAGGCCAGGAACCUAGGGGAAAACCAAAUACUACUGUUUUACUAAAGGAGCAUAGCAAUAAAGUGACUCCUAAUGACACUCUACUAUACUCAUAGAUCAGUGCUUUGCCCAGAGAAGCUUCCUCCUGCAGCAGAUGGGAGAGAAUACAGAGAUUCACAGCAAACAUUAUGCAGACAGUGAGAGACCUUGGAACUCUCAGUCCUAAGCAGGAUGUUUUCAUCAAAUCCGUCUCCUCAGGGCCCCCUCAUGAACCCUGUGGAAGAGGUGGCUGAAAGACUGUAAGAUCCAGCAUGGAUGGAAGGCACCAGGGAAACUCGGCCUUCUAUAUACAGCAGAAACGACACACAGAUGAGCUCACAGAGACUUGGCAGCAUGCAAAGGGGUCUGUUCCAGAAGAAGUGGACACAAGCCCUCAGCCCUAACCCAGAAGCUAUCUCCAAGUGGCAACCACUUGCAAAUGAAACAAGGGAGUUGCAGUAGGGAAACAAACUAUUCUUAACGGUAGGCCCCUUGCCCAGCAGUAGAUGCCAACAGAAAACUAACUCAACACCUUUGGAGGUUAUUUGUCUUAUAUUGUUAUGACAAGAUUUUUUCUUUUUUAAUCCUUGCAGGUUCUUUGCAUCUGUGUUAUCACUUCCAGUUUUGGGUUUUUACGGGAUUCCUGUUUGUAUGAACAUGUGUGUGUCUGUGUCUAUGUGUUCCUUAAGCUUGUUCUUUGCCCCUUUUCCUUCUGUUUUGUCCUAUUCCUAUUGGAUUUUGUUUUGUUUUAUGUUUUAUUAUUGUCACUUAGAUGUCUAUUUUCUGAUGAGAGCCCUAAAGGGAGUGGAUCUGGGGAGGUGGGGAGGAGCUGCAGGGGGGAACACCGUAAUUAGAAUAUAUUGUGUGAAAGAAAAUCCAUUUUCAAUAAAAAACAAUUACAAAUAUAA